rnacentral:rRNA from 1 species
UACGGAGGGUGCGAGCGUUGUCCGGAAUCACUGGGCGUAAAGGGCGCGUAGGUGGCGCCGCAAGUCAACGGUGAAAGCUCGACGCUUAACGUCGAGUCGGCCGUCGAGACUGCGGGGCUCGAGCACUGUAGAGGCUCAUGGAAUUCCGGGUGUAGCGGUGGAAUGCGUAGAGAUCCGGAAGAACACCGGUGGCGAAGGCGGUGAGCUGGGCAGUUGCUGACACUGA